GAUGAACGCUGGCGGCGUGCCUAAUACAUGCAAGUCGAGCGAACAGACGAGGAGCUUGCUCCUCUGACGUUAGCGGCGGACGGGUGAGUAACACGUGGAUAACCUACCUAUAAGACUGGGAUAACUUCGGGAAACCGGAGCUAAUACCGGAUAAUAUAUUGAACCGCCUGGUUCAAUAGUGAAAGACGGUUUUGCUGUCACUUAUAGAUUGAUCCGCGCCGCAUUAGCUAGUUGGUAAGGUAACGGCUUACCAAGGCAACGAUGCGUAGCCGACCUGAGAGGGUGAUCGGCCACACUGGAACUGAGACACGGUCCAGACUCCUACGGGAGGCAGCAGUAGGGAAUCUUCCGCAAUGGGCGAAAGCCUGACGGAGCAACGCCGCGUGAGUGAUGAAGGUCUUCGGAUCGUAAAACUCUGUUAUUAGGGAAGAACAAAUGUGUAAGUAACUAUGCACGUCUUGACGGUACCUAAUCAGAAAGCCACGGCUAACUACGUG
rnacentral:rRNA from 1 species